GGCUGCAACUCGCCUGCAUGAAGUCGGAAUUGCUGUAAUCGCAGAUCAGCAUGCUGCGGUGAAUACGUUCCCGGGCCUUGUACACACCGCCCGUCACACCAUGGGAGUCGGUAACACCCGAAGUCGGUAGCCUAACCGUAAGGAGGGCGCCGCCGAAGGUGGGAUUGAUGACUGGGGUGAAGUCGUAACAAGGUAUC
rnacentral:rRNA from 1 species